rnacentral:rRNA from 1 species
AACAGGUUAAUAUUCCUGUACUUGGUGUUACUGGCGAAGGGGGACGGAGAAGGCUAUGUUAGCCGGGCGACGGUUGUCCCGGUUUAAGCAUGUAGGCUGAUUGUCCAGGCAAAUCCGGAUAAUCAAGGCUGAGGUGUGAUGACGAGGCACUACGGUGCUGAAGUAACAAAUGCCCUGCUUCCAGGAAAAGCCUCUAAGCAUCAGGUAACAUUAAAUCGUACCCCAAACCGACACAGGUGGUCAGGUAGAGAAUACCAAGCGCUUGAGAGAACUCGGGUGAAGGAACUAGGCAAAAUGGUGCCGUAACUUCGGGAGAAGGCACGCUGGUGUGUAGGUGAAGUCCCUGCGGAUGGAGCUGAGACCAGUCGAAGAUACCAGCUGGCUGCAACUGUUUAUUAAAAACACAGCACUGUGCAAACACGAAAGUGGACGUAUACGGUGUGACGCCU